rnacentral:rRNA from 1 species
AACCUCCCAGGCCACCCGGCCUGCGGCGGAAUGUUGCGUAAAGGGAAAGGUCGUAGUCAAACCCCGCAGCCACGCGAACUCUAAGUCAGCCACGAAUAGGCUAUCCCAACUAACGGCGGGAAAGACUCCACGGAGGGUGUAAGACCCGUGUGGGCGCGUGUCAAAGCUGUGCGGGUUCGGCCUUUUUUCCCUGAGAGUCGCGUUGCUUGAGCAUGCAGCGCUAAGAAGGUCGUAAACUCGAUCUAAGGCUAAAUACCUCCACAGAACCGAUAGCGAACAAGUACCGUGAGGGAAAGUUGAAAAGCACUCUGGAGAGAGAGUCAAAAGACCGUGAAACCGCUCAGAGUAUAAGCCUAUGGCUACUUGGAAGGCAUGUCGUUAGCGGGACGCCGCUGUUGCCAGCAAUGGUGAACGGGCGUUACCUUGCCUCUGUUGCGGCUCGUCAGGUAGGGGGGUCGAGUCCACAUCCCGCCGACGUGCGGGGAGUUCUCUGGCGCGUUGGGGCCUGGCGUGAGAUCCUCGUGGUCGAUAUCGUUGGCUUUUCUUCACGCUGGGUUCUCCUUAAGCACGGACGUUCUGACUCGGAGGCAAGAUACGACAAACAGCCCACCACGGCACGUUGUGAGGUCACCCACAGGCUCGACUUUCGAUCGUGGCUCUUGACGCCGAGCAAGCGCGAUGCGUGUUGCUUUGAGAAAGAGUUCGCUGCUGCUACGAACUCUUUUAACACGCGCUCAUUGUCAGAGUCGGGCGAUGACUGAGUACUGGUAUGAUCCUCUUGCGACGAGCCGGCUUCUGGCCGAGUUUUUCUGGUGCCCAGGGCUCCCGCAUGUGCCGCGGGAGACCGACACAACGACGGAUUGGCCUGAGUCCUCUAAGUCGGGCGCCGGAACGAGUGGUGUAAAGUCCAAGACCAUUGGUCACGUCUCGAAACACGGGCCAAGGAGUAUAGCAUGUGUGCAAGUCUAAGGGUCUCACAAAACCCGAAGGAGAAGUGAAAGCAAGUUUGCGGCGGGUGAUCCACGGAGAUCCCGUCAGCUAGAGAGAGAGAGAGUCUCUCUCUCUCUCUCCGGCUUUGGCUGAGUUGAUCCUGCAGCGCUACUCAAAAUGUCUCGUACGCUCAGGCGCAAACUCCAGGCUCACGUUUCGCACCUCGGUCUUCGGACUGUGCUGUGAGCACUGUGGAGCAUGCAUGCUAUGACCCGAAAGAUAGUGAACUAUGCCUGGCGAGGGCGAAGCCCCAGGAAACUGGGGUGGAGGCCCGUAGCCGUUGUGACGUGCAAAUC